rnacentral:rRNA from 1 species
CCUACGGGGGGCAGCAGUGAGGAAUAUUGGUCAAUGGGCGCGAGCCUGAACCAGCCAAGUAGCGUGAAGGAUGACUGCCCUACGGGUUGUAAACUUCUUUUAUAAAGGAAUAAAGUGAGGCACGUGUGCCUUUAUGUAUGUACUUUAUGAAUAAGGAUCGGCUAACUCCGUGCCAGCCGCCGCGGUAAUACGGAGGAGACGAGCGUUAUCCGGAUUUAUUGGGUUGACAGGGAGCGUAGAUGGGUUGUUAAGUCAGUUGUGAAAGUUUGCGGCUCAACCGUAAAAUUGCAAUUGAUACUGGCAGCCUUGAGUACAGUUGAGGUAGGCGGAAUUCGUGGUGUAGCGGUGAAAUGCUUAGAUAUCACGAAGAACUCCGAUUGCGAAGGCAGCCUACUAACCUGCCACUGACAUUGAUGCUCGAAAGUGUGGGUAUCAAACAGGAUUAGAUACCCCUGUAGUC